rnacentral:lncRNA from 7 species
AAGAGUCACAAGAAUCCACGUACAGAUUGGAGUGUAAAUGCCACCAUCUCAUAAACUCAGUGAAAAUCAGACAAAACAUGCUGCUACAGCAAAUUAAUGAACCCCGGUUUCGGAUUGGGAAAGUCAAGCACACAGCUAAGUUGAGAGAGAAACCAAUUGACUCGCUUGAGCUUGAAUUGGUCCAGAUGGAUUGGCAGUUUCAGUUGAGAGCUGGAACAGCUGUUACUCUCUCCUGGUCAGUUCAGACAGAGAUUCAGAUUUCAGAGCUGCUGCCUGGAAUGCUGAGCUUUCUGGCUGUGCGUCUGCGAUCCGGUCAGGUCGUUGUCGAACUGUUCAUGCAAGUUUGUCAAGAAUUGCCGCUGCCUGUUGAGGAGUGAAUGGGCCAGCAGCCAGAUGGCCUGGUUAGCGAAGCGAAAGGUAUUGGUGAUGAAGCUAGCUAAGUGUUCGCCGCCGCCCAAGACGGAGACGGUUCAACAACUCGCAUCAGUGAUCGUUGAAACUGAAGGCAGGACGCAGCAG